AACGAACGCUGGCGGCAGGCCUAACACAUGCAAGUCGAGCGCCCCGCAAGGGGAGCGGCGGACGGGUGAGUAACGCGUGGGAAUAUGCCCUUUGCUACGGAAUAGUCUCGGGAAACUGGGGGUAAUACCGUAUACGCCCUUUGGGGGAAAGAUUUAUCGGCGAAGGAUUAGCCCGCGUUGGAUUAGGUAGUUGGUGGGGUAAUGGCCUACCAAGCCGACGAUCCAUAGCUGGUUUGAGAGGAUGAUCAGCCACACUGGGACUGAGACACGGCCCAGACUCCUACGGGAGGCAGCAGUGGGGAAUCUUAGACAAUGGGGGCAACCCUGAUCUAGCCACGCCGCGUGAGUGAUGAAGGCCUUAGGGUUGUAAAGCUCUUUCAGCUGGGAAGAUAAUGACGGUACCAGCAGAAGAAGCCCCGGCUAACUCCGUG
rnacentral:rRNA from 1 species